AGCAAGUCUGAUUGAGAGUUAAAUGCUUUCAGUCUUAAGGACAAGCUGUGAUGGGGAGUGAAAUUUAAAGUAACGAAGUUCCUGAUGUCACACUGCCGAGAAAAGCUUCUAGUUAGAGUUUAACUACCCGUACCGCAAACCGACACAGGUAGUCGAGGAGAGUAUCCUCAGGUGAGCGAGAGAACUCUCGUUAAGGAACUCGGCAAAAUGACCCCGUAACUUCGGAAGAAGGGGUGCUGAUCGCAAGAUCAGCCGCAGUGAAUAGGCCCAGGCGACUGUUUAUCAAAAACACAGGUUUCUGCAAAAUCGUAAGAUGACGUAUAGGGGCUGACGCCUGCCCGGUGCUGGAAGGUUAAGUGAAUGAGUUAGCUUCGGCGAAGCUUUGAAAUGAAGCCCCAGUAAACGGCGGCCGUAACUAUAACGGUCCUAAGGUAGCGAAAUUCCUUGUCGGGUAAGUUCCGACCCGCACGAAAGGCGUAACGAUCUGGGCACUGUCUCAACGAGAGACUCGGUGAAAUUAUAAUACCCGUGAAGAUGCGGGUUACCCGCGACAGGACGGAAAGACCCCAUGGAGCUUUACUGUAGCUUGAUAUUGAGUGUUUGUACAGCUUGUACAGGAUAGGUAGGAGCCAUAGAAACCGGAACGCUAGUUUCGGUGGAGGCGUUGGUGGGAUACUACCCUCGCUGUAUGAACCCUCUAACUCGCGCCACUAAGCGUGGCGGAAGACAGUGUCAGGUGGGCAGUUUGACUGGGGCGGUCGCCUCCUAAAGAGUAACGGAGGCGCCCAAAGGUUCUCUCAGAAUGGUUGGAAAUCAUUCGCUGAGUGUAAAGGCAGAAGAGAGCUUGACUGCGAGACAGACAGGUCGAGCAGGGACGAAAGUCGGGCUUAGUGAUCCGGUGGUACCGUAUGGAAGGGCCAUCGCUCAACGGAUAAAAGCUACCCUGGGGAUAACAGGCUUAUCUCCCCCAAGAGUUCACAUCGACGGGGAGGUUUGGCACCUCGAUGUCGGCUCAUCGCAUCCUGGGGCUGUAGUCGGUCCCAAGGGUUGGGCUGUUCGCCCAUUAAAGCGGUACGCGAGCUGGGUUCAGAACGUCGUGAGACAGUUCGGUCCCUAUCCGUCGCGGGCGUAGGAAAUUUGCGAGGAUCUGUCCUUAGUACGAGAGGACCGGGAUGGACAUACCGCUGGUGUACCAGUUGUUCCGCCAGGAGCAUCGCUGGGUAGCUAUGUAUGGAUGAGAUAAACGCUGAAAGCAUCUAAGUGUGAAACUCGCCUCAAGAUGAGAUUUCCCAUUCCAUUUAUGGAAGUAAGACCCCUGAGAGAUGAUCAGGUAGAUAGGUUGGGAGUGGAAGUGUAGUGAUACAUGGAGCGGACCAAUACUAAUCGGUCGAGGACUUAACCA
rnacentral:rRNA from 1 species